ACACGGCUGGUGUAAUGGUAACAUCUGCGCUUCCCAGCUUAAAACUGGCCGGGAACGACCCGGAUAUGAAUGCGCUGGCCCUGGGUUCGAUUCCCAGGCCGUGUA